AGGUCUAUGGGGCCAUGGAGGAGGUCUAUGGGGACAUGGAGGAGGUCCAUGGGGACAUGGAAAAGGUCUAUGGGGACAUGGAAACGGUCCGUGGGGACACUGAAGAGGUCUAUGGGUCCAUGGAGGAGGUCUAUGGGGCCAUGGAUGAGGUCUAUGGGGCCAUGGAAAAGGUCUAUGGGGCCAUGGAUGAGGUCUAUGGGGCCAUAGA